UCGGCUGCCGUGUGAUCUGAUGUGCUGA
rnacentral:piRNA from 1 species